AUUGAACGCUGGCGGCAGGCCUAACACAUGCAAGUCGAACGAGUGGCGGACGGGUGAGUAACGUCUGGGAAACUGCCUGUUGGAGGGGGAUAACUACUGGAAACGGUAGGCAAUACCGCCUACUAUACGAUGAGCCCAGAUGGGAUUAGCUUGUUGGUGGGGUAACGGCUCACCAAGGCGACCAUCCCUAGCUGGUCUGAGAGGAUGACCAGCCAAACGGGAACUGAGAAACGGUCCAGACUCCUACGGAAGGAACCAGUGGGGAAUAUUGCCCAAUGGGCGCAAGCCGAAUGCAGCCAUGCCGCGUAUAUGAAAAGGGCCUUCGGGUGUUAAAGUACUUUCAGCGGGGAGGCGUUACCCGCAUAAGAAGCACCGGCUAACUCCGUGCCAGCAGCCGCGGUAAUAC
rnacentral:rRNA from 1 species